ensembl:snoRNA
ACUGCCCCUAGAGGUGUUGCAGGUGUGGCUGCCGUAUCGUAGGUGCCUUAGUAUGUGGGGGAGAGGAGAGAGGCUAUUUCCAUGCUCAGCGCUCUGACUGUGAACAUCCGAAUGAUUAGCAGCCUAACACU